rfam:Triticum aestivum genome assembly, contig: Triticum_aestivum_CS42_TGACv1_scaffold_378133_5AL
AUACUACUCCCUCCGUCCGGAAAUACUUGUCAUUGAAAUGGAUGUAUCUAGAUGUAUUUUAGUUGUAGAUGCAUCCAUUUUCAUCCAUUUUAAUGUCAAGUAUUUCCGGACGGAGGGAGUACAAG